rnacentral:rRNA from 1 species
UACGGGGGGUGCGAGCGUUGUCCGGAAUCACUGGGCGUAAAGGGCGCGUAGGUGGCUUGGUAAGCGUGUGGUGAAAGCCCGGGGCUCAACCCCGGGUCUGCCAUGCGAACUGCUAUGGCUUGAGCACUGUAGAGGCAGGUAGAAUUCCGGGUGUAGCGGUGGAAUGCGUAGAGAUCCGGAAGAAUACCGGUGGCGAAGGCGGCCUGCUGGGCAGUGGCUGACACUGAGGCGCGAAAGCGUGGGGAGCGAACAGG